CUGUGGACACAAGCAUAAGGAGUUCCGAACACACAAUGGCCAUGCACACGGUAUGCGGAUUGCGCAUCACAGGAACCACUGUGACCAUCAACAGAUUUCAGACGCUACCGUACGCCUCCUCAACUCCCCCUCUCUCUAUCUCCGCUUCAAUGGCCUCUGUUCCUCUCUCUUCCACUGUCUUCUUCGGUUCAAUUACUGCUAAAAAAUCGAGGUUCAGUUCUUUCCCUCUCGAAUUUCGACCGUUGAAGAAGACUCAAAGAGUCAGGGUUUCUGUCUGCAGAGCUGCAUCGGUUGUUUUUCGCGAUCUCGAUGCCGAUGAUUUCAGACACCCUCUCGAUAAGCAGAAUACGCUGAUUUUGAGGGCGAUUCCAGGAUUAAACGAAAUCGGAAAGGCUCUAUUAGGAACCGUGACAGAGCAGGUCAUGCUUCUCGAGAAUAUAGGAACAUCAGUUCUUGUUUCCAAAAAUCAGCUUUCUGAUCUUCAUCAAUUAAUGCUUGAGGCUGCGGAAAUACUGAAUCUUGAUGCUCCUGAUUUAUACAUCCGGCAAAGUCCUGUACCAAACGCAUAUACUUUAGCUAUCAGUGGUAAAAAGCCUUUUGUUGUUGUUCAUACAAGCCUUGUGGAGCUUCUGACACGAAAGGAGUUGCAGGCUGUUUUGGCUCACGAGUUGGGUCACCUGAAAUGUGACCAUGGUGUAUGGCUUACUUUUGCAAAUAUUCUCACUCUUGGGGCCUAUUCUUUACCUGGGCUUGGUGGGUUGAUCGCUCGGCAAUUAGAAGAACAGCUAUUUCGGUGGCUCCGAGCAGCAGAGCUAACUUGUGAUCGUGCAGCCCUUCUUGUUGCUCAAGAUCCCAAGGUGGUCAUCUCCGUUCUGAUGAAAUUAGCGGGGGGCAGCCCAUCUUUGGCUGACCAAUUAAAUGUAGAUGCAUUCUUGGAGCAGGCUCGCUCCUAUGAAAAAGCUUCUUCAAGCCCAGUGGGGUGGUAUAUAAGAAAUGCUCAAACAAGGCAGCUUUCACAUCCUCUGCCUGUUCUACGUGCUCGUGAGAUUGAUGAAUGGUCAAGAAGUAAAGACUACAGAUCCCUUUUGAGCCGUGCAGCACCGAUAAAUUCUGUACAAAAGAUUUAGCUGUGGUGUGUGGAUAGAGUUCACAGUUUAAAACAGCUUGAAUAGAUUUUUGUUUUCAUGUGAAGAUUACUGGAGAUGAAGAGAGCUUAUAUGAGAAUCAUGUCUUCCAUAAAGUUCUGGUUUAUCCAACUAUUGUAAAUAUAAAUAUACAAUAUAAGAAACCUCAGCUUAUUUCUUGGUAAAUCCUGGGCCCAGGACACACGUAUUAUGCCAACCAAAGGAAGUUGUCAGAUGGCCAGCCAAAUAAUGUAUUUGGAGUUCACCAAGAUUGACAUUUCUUCAGGCACAGGUAAUAAAUACUAUGCUGAUUGAAGAAAGUUCAGUGGCAGUCAAAUGAAUGACAUUUUGGAAGCCCUUUUAAAAUCUUUGAUCUCCUGAUCUCUGUCAUUAAUAUCUAAACCUGUGAAUGUAAUUAUAAGUUAUAACUAACAUAUUCACCUUCUAGUUCUUCCCC